AGCGAACGCUGGCGGCGUGCCUAACACAUGCAAGUCGAACGUGAAAGCCUUCGGGUGAGUAAAGUGGCGCACGGGUGAGUAACACGUGGAUAAUCUACCUUGAAGUUUGGAAUAACUUGCCGAAAGGCGAGCUAAUACCGGAUAGAUCAAAUUCAUCAUCGAGGUGAAUUUGGGAAAGGGAGGCCGCAAGGUCCCUCGCUUUAAGAUGAGUCCGCGUCUCAUUAGCUUGAUGGUGGGGUAAAGGCCUACCAUGGCGAUGAUGAGUAGCUGGUCUGAGAGGAUGAUCAGCCACACUGGAACUGAAACACGGUCCAG
rnacentral:rRNA from 1 species